GACGAACGCUGGCGGCGUGCUUAACACAUGCAAGUCGAACGGAAAGGCCCUGCUUUUGUUGGGUGCUCGAGUGGCGAACGGGUGAGUAACACGUGAGUAACCUGCCCUUGACUUUGGGAUAACUUCAGGAAACUGGGGCUAAUACCGGAUAGGAUCUCCUGCUGCAUGUUGGGGGUUGGAAAGUUUCGGCGGUUGGGGAUGGACUCGCGGCUUAUCAGCUUGUUGGUGGGGUAGUGGCUUACCAAGGCUUUGACGGGUAGCCGGCCUGAGAGGGGUACCGGCCACAUGGGGACUGAGAGACGGACCAGAAGGCUACGGGAGGCAGUAGGGGGGAACAUGGCACAAUGGGCGGAAGCCUGGGGCAGAAACGCCGCGUGCGGGAUGAUGGCCUUCGGGGGGUAAACCGCUUUCGCAGGUGACGAAGAGUGAGUGACGGUAAUGGGUAAAGAAGCAACGGCUAACUACGUG
rnacentral:rRNA from 1 species